ACGCAACAAAAAUAAUCAAAUGUCAAAUUCUGCCAUAAAUGUCUUACACGAGUAAAUCAAAGAAAUAAAUGUAAAUUAAUAUGUAAAAACACAAGAACGUAUUAAGUAAAGUAGAUGCAUCAAUUUACAUACACCGUAAAUAAAUAAAGGAUGCCACUGGACUAAGCCGGCACCCUGCGCACCAGAGAUGUAGCAACUUGCGCAAUAGAUAUCGAAGAUGCUCUAGUAUUUUGAAGCCAGCUUCUAAAAUUACAGCCAUAGAAUACCAAUAGCAGACAUGUGAGCCGGGGUAUUAUCUUCAAAAUUUGAAAGAUGCCAUUGAGUGUCAAGAUACCACGCACACAAGCAUGUAAUAGUUGCCGUAAUAAAAAGCUAUUGUUCUUAGUGUGAGUUUAAUCUUUAAUCUAAGGUUAUCUACAUUAAAUUAAAAAUAAAUGCUAAU